GAUGAACGCUGGCGGCGUGCCUAAUACAUGCAAGUCGAGCGAACGGACGCGAAGCUUGCUUCUCUGAUGUUAGCGGCGGACGGGGGAGUAACACGUGGAUAACCUCCCUCUCAGACUGGGAUAACUUCGGGAAACCGGAGCUCAUACCGGAUAAUAUUUUGAACCGCAUGGUUCAAAAGUGAAAGACGUUCUUGCUGUCACUUAUAGAUGGAUCCGCGCUGCAUUAGCUAGUUGGUAAGGUAACGGCUUACCAAGGCAACGAUGCAUAGCCGACCUGAGAGGGUGAUCGGCCACACUGGAACUGAGACACGGUCCAGACUCCUACGGGAGGCAGCAGUAGGGAAUCUUCCGCAAUGGGCGAAAGCCUGACGGAGCAACGCCGCGUGAGUGAUGAAGGUCUUCGGAUCGUAAAACUCUGUUAUUAGGGAAGAACAUAUGUGUAAGUAACUGUGCACAUCGUGACUGUACCUAAUCAGAAAGCCACGGCUAACUACGUG
rnacentral:rRNA from 1 species